rnacentral:rRNA from 1 species
CACGAAAUUGGGUGAGCUAACUUUAUUAUAAAUAUAUGUAUCAUAAUAUUAAGGAAUUAAAAGUUAGGGGUGAUAGGCCUCACAAGCUCAAUGAUAUCUUGAUUUUUUUGAGGUGUUAUAGUACGAAGGUAUACUUAGAGCGAUAAGGUUUUAAGUAAAGAAUUAAUUUAAUUACCUAUAUUAUGUUGGUUUAACAACUUGUGUUUGAUUAGGCGAAUAUAUAGAGUUGAGGGUUAUUUUAAUUAGGAAAACACUAUCAAUUAUCUUGUAAGUUGACAAUGUUAGUAUUAGUAUUUAAAAGGUAUUUAUAGUGAACUCGGCAAUAGUGCUUUCAACUGUUUACCAAAAACAUAGCUACGCGCAAUUACACGUAGUACUUUCUGCUCAAUGAGAUAUUAAAUAGCCGCAGUACCCUGACUGUGCAAAGGUAGCGUAAUCACUUGUCUUUUAAAUGAAGUCUUGCAUGAAGGAAUAUAUGGGGGCUUUCUUUACCAUUAAUAUACAACGAAUUUGCUUAAUGAGUGCAAAUGCUCAUAUAUAAAUAAUAGACGAGAAGACCCUAGAAAUUUGUCAAAUAUUUUGUUGGGGCAACAGGAUAACAAUAGAAUUUAUUUGUGUAUAUGAAAUAAUGUUAGUUAAAGUAAAUUACUCUAGGGAUAACAGCAUAAUAUGAAAAUGUUUGUGACCUCGAUGUUGGAUUAGGAAGUUGUAGUUUAGAA